GGCAGAGGAUGCAAGCGUUAUCCGGAAUGAUUGGGCGUAAAGCGUCUGUAGGUGGCUUUUUAAGUCCGCCGUCAAAUCCCAGGGCUCAACCCUGGACAGGCGGUGGAAACUACCAAGCUGGAGUACGGUAGGGGCAGAGGGAAUUUCCGGUGGAGCGGUGAAAUGCGCAGAUAUCGGGAGGAACACCAAUGGCGAAGGCAGCUCGCUGGGACGUGACUGACGCUGAGACGCGAAGCGUGGGGAGCAAACAGG
rnacentral:rRNA from 1 species